CGCCUGUUUAUCAAAAACAUCUUUUCUCGUUAGUUUUUGAAGUAUGGCCUGCCCACUGACCUUGAAUGUUGAAGGGGCCCGGUAUUUUGACCGGGCAAAGGUAGCAUAGUCAUUAGUUCUUUAAUUGUGAUCUGGUAUGAAUGGCUUGACGAGGCAUAAGCUGUCUUAAUUUUGAAUUGUUUAUUGAAUUUGGUCUUUGAGUUAAAAUUCUUAGAUGUUUUUAUGGGACGAGAAGACCCUAUAGAGUUUGACAUUUAUUAUGGUCUCUUUCUGUUUGUGAGGGUUCACUAGGGCUGUUUUGAUAUGUUUUGUUGGGGUGAUGGGAGGGAUAUUAUUUAACCCCUCCUUUGUGUUGUUAUAUUUAUUUAUGUUUGCUUGAUCCAUUUAUUUUGAUUGUAAGAUUAAAUUACCUUAGGGAUAACAGCGUAA
rnacentral:rRNA from 1 species